GCUUAAGGGGUGCAAACACACCACAGUACAGAGGCUGAUGGCUGUGGGUAUAAGGUCUCCACCUGGGAACCGGGGCUGAAGAACAGAAGAGUUUUUCCUUGCUCUCCUUCCCAAUCGGCACAUUCUUUUGGCCAACCACGCUGGACCGUAUUUUACCACCCCUUUUUAUUAGCCAACAUAUCCCAGCCCUUCAGUGUAAAAGCGGCUGACCUAAUGAUCCACUGUGAUCAGUCAGCCAAGCACUUGGCCCGCUCCAAGUACUUUUUGGCUUUGGUAUGAGUGUUCUGAACAAAUAUUUUCGGUCAUCUAUAUUAAUCUACAUCACGUGACUCUUCCUGGGAAGACGUAAAGAAACAGCUAUUCAUGGCAGAAAGGGCACUGACAGACCGAAGAAACGAUCCAAUCCAGGUCCAGCUUAGAGAGCCCGUGAGUUCAUUGUGGUUACUUAUAGAAGCAUGGGAGACUCUUGGACAGCUGCAUCACCGAAAAGUCUUACUCCAAGUACAGAUGACUCAUGGACAGCUGUGCCAGAGGAGUCCCAACCCCCAGUCACCUUCCAACUCAUAGACUUUACUGCAACCACAUCACACCCCACAAGACCUUGGGGAACUCAAGCAGGAUUAUGUUCAACCGGAGGCGCAGAAAGGAGGGGUGACAACUCUCAGGAAACGGCUCCGGCCUGUUUUCUGAUAUUAUAACAAAAUACACAAAGGAGGGAGGUCAAAUAUCCCAAAAGCAUGGCACUUGCCCUGAGACGAGAUCCCUCGGUUGUAUCAGGAAGAAGACUAGAACAGGCAUGCCUGAAAGAGGGAGACCAGUGGCAACCUGCUGAUGUGGCCCAAACAAGAGUAAUGGUGCUUUAAAAUUCCACAGUAUUGCAGAGAAGCGGAUGGAGUCCUGCCAUAUUUUUAUAGAUACUCUGAUGAAUCCAGAUGUUAAGGACAGAAGAAAAUGAUCAAAGUUUCCUUUCUAGAUUAUGAUUCAUUCUCCUGCACGGUAGAAUCUUUUUUACUGAGGCAAGAGAAGAAUUGAUAUAGUUUAAUAGGUAACAAUUCAAGGGUUUUUUUUUUUUUUUGCUUUGUUUUGUUUAAGUGUGUUAAGUGGAAACAUCCACUGUGGUUAUCAAGCAGACAGUUAGGCCUGUGAGUUGAGAGAAAGAGUUUAGAGAUCAGAAACAGCUUUGGGAUUCCUCAUUAUACAAUAUUUAAAGUUAUGGGUCUCAGCAAGAUUUUAUAAUGGGGGGAGAGUGGUAGAAUAAACAUGUAGUAAUAAGUCCUGCAACCCUAAUGAUGUUCAGUCAGAGAGUAGAGGAGUCACCAGGAAACCAGGAAGGUAAAUAGAGACUGGUCUCAUCAAAACAAAGGAGAACAUUUUAAGAAAGCCAACUGAGUGCUGGAGAGGUAGGUGGCCAGAGGUCAAGAGUGCUUGCCGUUAUUCUGGAGACUUGUGUUCGAUUCCCAUGUCAGAUAACUUAUAACUGCUGUGACUCCAGCUACAGAGGGUCCAGUGCCUCUGGUCUCUAGGGCACACUGGCUCACUCAUAUGUACUCACACUCUCACACAACUACAAACAAAUUCAUUUUAAAAGGAAGAUAGUUAACAGUCAUUAAGAUCAUUAACUUCUCAAGCCAGGAGGAGAUGAGCUUAAGCUUUAAAAAGGGAAACAGUUUCCUAACAAAGGCCCAGCAUGGAGACAAGCCAACAAAGCUAAUAAAGAUCCCUGAGAAUACUGAGUAAAAGAGAAGCUUGUGGACUGGAGAGGUGGCUCAGAGGUUAAGAGCACUGACUGCUCUUCCAGAGGUCCUGAGUUCAAAUCCCAGCAACCACAUGGUGGCUCACAACCAUCUGUAAUGAGAUCUGAUGCCCUCUUCUGGUGUGUCUGAAGACAGCUACAGUGUACUCAUAUAUGAUAAAUAAAAAAUAAAAUAUUUUAAAAAAAGAGAGAAGCUUGUAACAUUUGUGGCAGACAACAGCACAAGAACAUGCUGCUGAUGAAUAGCAUCAUCAGCAUCCUGUGCUGCAGGAAUCAGGGGGACCUAGGCAAAUAAGGCAGUAAACAGCCCCCUAAAUGCAUCUUCUGGCUCUGAGGCAAUAGCUAGUGACAGGGGCAUGCGUGUGCCUGUGUCAAUAGGAAAAAGGGUUGUCGAGAUACCACACUGCUGAAGGGUGUAUUGUUCCCUCCCAGAUGACCCACGUUCCAUUCCGAGCACUCACAUCACGUUGCUCAUAAUUCCUUAUACCUCCAACUGCAGGGCAUUAGAUCUCUUCCCGUCCCUGCAGACAUUUGCACACAAGUACAGCAUAGUUUCACACAGACUCAUACAUAUAAAUACAAAACAAAUAUUUAAAAAUAAAUAAUAUAAAAGUGAAAGAAAGAAUUCAGUUAAUAACUUGAGUAAAAGCAUACAACUAUUUUUUCAAUGAUCAUAAUAAAGAACUUUCCCAGAAGACUUCUGUUGUUGUUGUUGUUGUUGUUGUUGUUGUUUUUAGGCAGAGUUUCUUUGUGUAACUCUGGUUGUCCUAAAAUUCACUCUGUAGGCCAGGCUGUCCUCGUACUCAGAACCUCUGCCUCCUCAGAGGACAAUUUUAAAGUACUAAUAAAACUGAAAAUGUAUACCUGGACAGUAGUGGCAGCCACCCCUUUAAUUCCAGCACUCCAGAGACAGAGGCAGGUAGGUCUCUGACCUCAGCUUGGUGUACAGAUUGAGUUUCAGGACAGCCGUUGCUGCAUGGUGAGAAAUGCUAACGAGAAGGGGGGAAAGAAUGAAAACUAUGUUCUAGAUACCCACAUCUAAAAUUGGGACAUUUUAAAGAAUAAAGAC